rnacentral:rRNA from 1 species
AGAGUUUGAUCAUGGCUCAGGACGAACGCUGGCGGCGUGCUUAACACAUGCAAGUCGAACGGAAAGGCCCUUCGGGGUACUCGAGUGGCGAACGGGUGAGUAACACGUGGGUGAUCUGCCCUGCACUUUGGGAUAAGCCUGGGAAACUGGGUCUAAUACCGAAUAGGACCACGCGCUUCAUGGUGUGUGGUGGAAAGCUUUUGCGGUGUGGGAUGGGCCCGCGGCCUAUCAGCUUGUUGGUGGGGUAAUGGCCUACCAAGGCGACGACGGGUAGCCGGCCUGAGAGGGUGACCGGCCACACUGGGACUGAGAUACGGCCCAGACUCCUACGGGAGGCAGCAGUGGGGAAUAUUGCACAAUGGGCGCAAGCCUGAUGCAGCGACGCCGCGUUAGGGAUGACGGCCUUCGGGUUGUAAACCUCUUUCAAUAGGGACGAAGCGCAAGUGACGGUACCUAUAGAAGAAGCACCGGCCAACUACGUGCCAGCAGCCGCGGUAAUACGUAGGGUGCGAGCGUUGUCCGGAAUUACUGGGCGUAAAGAGCUCGUAGGUGGUUUGUCGCGUUGUUCGUGAAAACUCACAGCUUAACUGUGGGCGUGCGGGCGAUACGGGCAGACUAGAGUACUGCAGGGGAGACUGGAAUUCCUGGUGUAGCGGUGGAAUGCGCAGAUAUCAGGAGGAACACCGGUGGCGAAGGCGGGUCUCUGGGCAGUAACUGACGCUGAGGAGCGAAAGCGUGGGGAGCGAACAGGAUUAGAUACCCUGGUAGUCCAA